UACGAAGGGGGGCUAGCGUUGUUCGGAAUCACUGGGCGUAAAGCGCACGUAGGCGGAUUGUUAAGUCAGGGGUGAAAUCCUGGAGCUCAACUCCAGAACUGCCUUUGAUACUGAAGAUCUUGAGUUCGGGAGAGGUGAGUGGAACUGCGAGUGUAGAGGUGAAAUUCGUAGAUAUUCGCAAGAACACCAGUGGCGAAGGCGGCUCACUGGCCCGAUACUGACGCUGAGGCACGAAAGCGUGGGGAGCAAACAGGG
rnacentral:rRNA from 1 species